rnacentral:rRNA from 1 species
CACGUAGGAGGCGAGCGUUGUCCGGAAUCAUUGGGCGUAAAGAGCUCGUAGGCGGUUUGUCGCGUCUGCCGUGAAAGUCCGGGGCUCAACUCCGGAUCUGCGGUGGGUACGGGCAGACUAGAGUGAUGUAGGGGAGACUGGAAUUCCUGGUGUAGCGGUGAAAUGCGCAGAUAUCAGGAGGAACACCAAUGGCGAAGGCAGCUCGCUGGGACGGUACUGACGCUGAGGCGCGAAAGCGUGGGGAGCAAACAGG